GUCCCCUUAUUCAAAAAAAAUCUCAAAUUAGAAAAAUGUUUGUGUUUUCAAAAAAUCUUCUGGAAUUUGUAAAAUGUUCAACAAUUCAAAAAUGUCCCUGUUUUAAAUUUUUGUUCAAAACUUCAAAAAAGUUUCUGAAUUUAAAAAUAUGUUCACAUUUUCCAAUUAUUCUUCACCGUUUUUGAAAAUUCCUCAUGUUUUUAAAUUUUUGUUCGAAUUUCAAAAUUUGUUCACAUGUUUCGGUAAGUGUUCAAUUUUUUUUCAAUAUUUCAAAAUUCUAUUCACACUUUCAAACAUUGCUCAAAUUUUUAUAACUUUGUUCAUAAUUUCCAAGAGAAUGAUCGAAAAUUCUGGAAAAAAUCGGAUCUCUGUCUUUACAUUCUUUACUAGUUUGCCCUUAUUGAAUGUCAGUAGGGCUCACGGGUCGGAGUGGCUAGCGAGAAUGCCUCCUAAGCUGGAGGUAAGGAGCGCGUCACAUAGGAGGUCCCAUAGAACAGCUAUGCACGUCUCAAAAAGCUGUUACGUGGUCGAGUCAAAAGAAGGACAUAAAUACGACCCAGCAACAAAAACGACACAAACACGAAACAGGCGCAAGUGAUUAAAGGUGGACUGAAGCGCAAUAAGCGAGAAAGGGGGAGUAGCCCAAUGGUUGCGGUCGGAGUGACACGUCCACCAAACAGAGUUCGAAUCCUGAUGGGAGUCGAAUAUCUUGCAUUUCUCGCUAAGGAGGCCUUAUAAAUAAAUUGCCAUUCCAAUUUUUUUUAUCCGUCCGCAAUUACCUCAUCCUCCUCUGCCCCCGAUUCCUUCUCUCCUCGCAGCAGCCCCCGCCCCCUUCUCAAAGCUCCGCCAUCCCCGUCCUGUACUCCCUUGGAAAAGAUCGAUUUUUUUUCGACGGGAGGAGUCAUUCCGGUUUGAUCCGUCCUGUACUCCCUUGGAAAAGAUCGAUUUUUUUCGACGGGAGGAGUCAUUCCGGCUUGAUCCGGUGGUGGCGAUGCCGGCCAGAUCCUGCGACGGCGCCGACGCGAGCCACCAAGGGCCGUGGACUCCCUCUCUGGCUGCGCUUCCGCCAAACCCUAGCGGCUCGGCGUCCUGGCGACCAUCUCCGAGGUGGUUUCUUUCUGCAGCAGCCAGCCCAUGGAGAAGGCCCGGACAAAUUCUCGGAGCAGUACGCCCGCCGCUCCAGCACCUUUCCUCACCGCCGUCGUCAUUCAAGAGUUGCUUGAUAUGUCGUUCAAGUCCAUCACAGCUGCUUGGGGAAGUGGGGAGCUAGUUAACUGUGGUUUCACAUUAUCUGAGGCAAAGUUGUAAUAAGUGAGCGACAAGUAAUAUGGAUCGGAGGGAGUACCUAAAUUGGAGUUCAGAAAAUUAUGAGGCAUCUCUACCCAACUAGAGAGGACAGAUUAGAUUAGGCCAGCAUCUUGCUUCAAACACGUUCUCUCUGUGGUUGAAAUUUGGCAAGAUGAAGUUGUUCCUAUGGUAUCUGUCAUGAAAAUUAAAAUGACACCUUUGGAGUCUUGUGCUGACAUGGGUGGUUUAGAUGCUCAAAUUCAAGAGAUCAAAGAAGCAGCUGAACUUCCUGAGCUAUAUGAGGACAUUGGAUUCAGGCCUCCGAAGGGAGUCAUACUGUAUGGGGAACAGGGAAAGCUUUACUUGCAAAGGUUUUGUCUUUUAAUCACUUCCAUUUGGCUCUGAAGGCUUGAAAAUCCAUGUUUUGCUGCAUUCAACGCUAAUAAGUUAGUGGGUUAAUAUACAUCUUUUCCUAGAAAGAGUGCAACAUCUUUUUCAUUGUUUCAAAUACUCCCUCUGUAAACUAAUAUAAGAGCAUUUAGAUCACUAUUUUAGUGUUCUAAACGCUCUUAUAUUAAUUUACGGAGGGAGUAUGAUGUUAUUUCCUUUGGUUCAAGACUGAAUGUGAAGUACUUGUGCUUCUCACUAAUUUUAAAUAUGAUGUGUGCAAGCUUUUACCAACACGAACCAACUAGAACUUAUUAGAAUGGUACAUAAUGGAUCCAACACACAGACGAUUUAAGUGGAUUAUGAUUUAUAGUAAGCAUAGAGGUUGCUAGGCUGACAGAAGAGUUUUAUCAUCUUAAAAAGUUGUCGAAUAUUGCUCCAAUUGGAAGUUCCUGAGCAAACUUCGGUAGUACUGCUUAUGGUAUUGACAAAUUUGUGGUGCGAUUAUAUUUGAUUAAUGCUUCUAAUUAUUCAAGGGCUUUGCAUCUGUACGUUUGAUUGGUAAUAGCACGCUUUGUUGAAGGAAACGAGCAUGUGGUGCUCUGCAUUUCCUGACACUAAGUUAGGGCUUACUAAUUUCGAUUGCAAAAAAUCCCAUGAGUGAGAUAGAUACUUCCAAACAGUCCAAUUGUGCACGUACAGUGAGCUGCAUGGGUAGUCUGCAGAUCCGAACCCUCAAUUCUUAUAGGUAAACAUAUUCUAUUUGAAACUGAAUAUUGCCAUCCUUUUAAUAGAUAUUAUAUUAUUUUAUUUUUGUUUGGUGACGAAGAUAAUGAGAAAACCACUAGGAAAGAUCUUCUGCAUAAGGAACAUAGCACCCUACAUCACAGUAUAACGACGAACACAAUGGGUAUGCCAAUAGUUGCUCUUUCAUUCAUACACCAAGUAAUCUUUGUUACCAUAUUCGCUUCUAAAAAAGUAAUCUUCCUCCCUGGCUUUCUAGCAAUUGCAUAACCUGCAGACUUAUUAGAUGUACGGACCAAGAUAUGAGCUGCAGACCCAACAACUUCAACAAAGUGUGCUGGCUUUUGCCAUUCUCCUGAGAAGGCAACACGUCGCAGAUGGACUCUAACUGCAGAGUAUUGGGAGAUAAUCAUGUGAGAGUUUGGUACAUGCAGAUUAAAUAAAGCCUUUAAUAAGGAAAAAGCGUUCAAAAAGUUAUACCGUGAGAAGAGGCUGCUUCAGUGAUGAUACAUCUGAAGCCAUCAGAACUGCCUUACACAAAUACAUGCUAUAUUGUGGAUUUUGCCAUGGACCAGACAGCAAACAAUUCAGGCAUUUUUCAAUCGACAACAUGCUAUGUGUAGCAAGGACAGUAUGACUUGUUCUUUUCUGACAAAGGACCAACAACACAUGGCCUAGGACCAUGGUUUUCGAGUCGCAUGACUAGUCGUCGACUAGUCGGUGAGUCGCAAAAAAAUGUCGACUCGAGUCACGAGUCGCAACUGCAGGCUCGACUAUUUCCGAUUCGCUACCCCAGAGCGACCGGAUGAGUCACGACUCAAAAACCAUGCUUAGGACUCUCCAUACACUUACCAUCAGUUUAAAUCUGAAAAUGCAAUCACUACCACCACUGAUUUGGCAGGACUUGCACCAGCCACAUUUUUCCUUUAGGAGCUCCACAGAUAACUUUUGACCAGUCAGUGCAAAAACAUUAACAUAUUUCUUACAUAUAUUGUUUUUAGCCGAAAAGAAACUGCAUCCGGGCCAUGCUUCUUUCCUUCCUCAUUCUCUGAAAGCUUGUGCUUUAACUCUCCAGUGGCUUAUGCUGCUGUUUGACCGAAACUGUAGUAGUUUAUAUACAUAGCAUUGCCAGAACGGAGACAGCAGUUACUUGCUUCUUUUUGAGGUGAUGCAUCUUUAUGGUUCUCUUCAGACAAAGCAUUAACAUGUAAGCCAGCAUCAUGCUUAGAAUUGCAGCUAUCCUUGUUGGCACUAGAGGCAUUAACCAGUCGUCCCUGAUCAAGAAAAUUUUCCAAUGUUCACCUACAGUGUGUUCCCUUCUGUAGAACAUGAAAAGAGCGUCCGCCAAAAUUUCUAAAUUUUAGGUCGUACUAUACAAGCGUUCUAUCUUGAUCAAAGGCCAUCUUGGUACGGACCGCCAGUAUGUUGCUUUCGCACAAUAUUGUUGUCCAUUGUUUUAAGUUUUAACCACUUCAUACCAAUAUACCAUACAGAAUUAUCACAAAAUUUCUAUAGCCAAUGCGCAAUUUUCACGCUAUGGGAAGGUUAGCAGGUGCAUCCGAUGCUUAUAGAUCACGCGAAUGGUCUAAUGACGAACCCGCUUUAGCAAUGUUUGUCGGUAGCUUGAUAGAUAAGUUCUCAGGUAUGCAGCAGAUACACUAAUUCACACAAAAUUGUUGGACUACGAAAAGUUAAUAAAAUAUACUGAUGCACGGACACACUCUCUGUUUAGGUAUACGGAUGCAAGGCCAUUUAUUGGGCAUUCCAUUCAGUUCAAUAAUGGUAAAUAGUGGUCAUGUAGCAGUUGAAGUUCAUUAUCUAGUUGAUUUUAGUUAUUUUGUCAUCCGUGUUUUUCCAGUGUUCUUAGUUAUAUUCAGACCUGUUCGGAAUCUCUCCACUUCGCUCCAGCUGUGGAGCUCGGUUUUAGCCGCUCCGUCAAAAUGAGCUGCAGCCUGCUUCGCUCCCGGAGCGCAGUUGAGGAGCGGAGAGGAACCGAACAGGCUCUCAGUCAUAAUCUUCAGUCAAUUAGUUUUCUUCAGGUUUCAAGGUUUCAGUUAGUUUUGCAUAGUUCUUUACUUUGUGUGUUUCUUAUUGAUUGCUGCUAGGUUCUUUACUUUGUGUAUUUCAUUCUCUCAUUGAUUGCUGCUAGGUUUCAGGUGCACUGUCAUUGUAUAUAUUCUCUCAUCCUCUUUAUUCUUGAAAUCAGUAUAUUCAGCUCUGCAGGAAGGUCCGUCUUCACAUCAGUAAGCCUUCUCUAACUCAAGUACCCAACACUACCUUGUAUUCAUUCUUUUUUUGAUUUUUUUGACACAUGAACAUUUUCUAUGCAAGUAGAUUAUUAUUUUUAGCUAAAUUUGUUUGGGGUGAGAGGAUCCAGCAUGUAGGAAAAAUGGAAGUCUCAGGGGAGGGAGGUUAGUUGGUUGGGUGAGAGAAUCCAGCCAUGGGGCGGCUCCAAGCGGCCGUGCUCUGGAUCGUAAGCAGCAUUGCUGCCAUGUGCUUCCCCGGGCUUAGUCUCCAUGUUUUUUCUUUGAUCCCGGUGUGUCUCACCCACCGUAGCAACUGCGCCCUUUGUGUUUGUGUAUUCCUUGGAGAAGAACUGUGGGGAAGGGACUAUGAACUAGGGGCGGGGUUGGCCCCAGCCCAUGAACUGUUGCGAUUUUGGUUUCCGUUCGUCUCUGUGUUUUUGUGUGUUAAUGGGUUUGCAAAUUUGGCCCACUAGGUUAAGACUGAUGCACAGCUUAGAAGGUCCAAGAGGGAACGUGUCGAAAACUACCCUGGUUUACCUACUCCGACGAUUCUAGCGCCGUCGAGUUCACGAGAACUUCACCGUCAUCAUCCGCUCUGUUCCCCCUCGAUCUCAGUGCAUGUUUGGGCUGAACAAGGGUCCGGCUCAUCCUUCCACCGGGCCUUGGCGUUGCUGCUUCUUGGGAGGUUUGGGGCACGGUGAUUUUUGGAUCUAUGGCGGCAUCGGGGUGCAGGGGCUUCGGCUUGUCUUCGACGAGAAAGAAGAAAGGGAAGGAAGGAAUUGAUUUGGAGGAGGCUUUGAAAAGGAUGACGCUGAAGAAUUCUGAACUUAACGAUGUGUUUGCAGGAGAGGAGACAUCAGAACUCUCCAAGGCAGGAAGGUGGCUCGUGGUGGCUUGGGUCGACACAAAAGAAACCAUUUAGUGCAUAAGCUUUCAAGGACAUGAUGAAGUUUGUCUGGCGACUCGCCAAUGAUCCAGAAAUUCGUGAGGCGGAUGACAAUCUUUUCGUGGUCCAAGUCUUCUGCUUAAGUGAAUGGAACCGGGUGAUGCAUCAGGGGUCGUGAAUCUUCCGGGGGCUCAUGGUGAUCAUUGAGGAAUAUUAUGGUAAGGGUAGGUCAAGAGAUGUUGUGUUGGACAGGACUCACGUUUGGGCUCAGAUCCAUGACCUUCCUAACCUUUAAAGAUCCUAGGCGAUCGCUGAUCAGUUUGAGGCCUUGUUCGGUUGACAGGGAUUUAGAAGGGGUUUGGCAGGGUUUGAGGUGGAUAUAAUCUCUUACAAGUCAAAAUCCACCCAAAUCCCCUCCAAUCCUCUUCACAAGAGGUGUAACCGAACAAGGCCUGAAGGAGAAUUGGCGAAGUUAAGAGGGUGGUAUGAACCCUAAUAGGUUAUAUAUGAGGGAAACUAUGUUAGGGUGUGGGCCAAGAUUGCAAUGGCCUAUCCAAUGACUAGAUUUGCACCAUCCAAUUUGAAUGGGAAAGAGAGAAUUUUUCUACCGGUCAAGUAUGAGAAGAUAUGUUUCUUCUGUGAGGUUUGUGGCUGUUAUGACCGGCGUCACUUAUAGUCAGAGGAGGCCCAAUGGCGCGUCUAGUUAGGGGCUUGGCCCAACUUAUCUUUAUUUUUAUUAGCUCAUCGAGGAUUAUAUAAACACUUGUAAGGUCAUGUUUUGGAAUUAAGCAAUAAGUUAGAACUAUUGCUCGGCUCCCUUCAGGAGCCGGAACCCUAACCUUAGCUGCCUCCCCCUGUGCCCUCUCUUCCUCCACCGCGCGACCAUGGCGCCGCCGCGCCGCCGCUCGCGCCCAUCACCUUGCCAUCCUCCCUUCCACCCCUACAACCUGAGGGCUAGGCCUGAUAGGAUCCCAACUCUUAUCAGUGGCAUCCUUGGUCACAUCAAGAAGUGUGGAGACGUGGUUCACAGGGAAGAUGAGAUCAAAUACGGAUCAUGGAUGGUGGCAGAAAGAAGAACUGUGUCGGGAACCCAAAGUUUUGGGCGAGGCAAAUUUUCCCAGGCUGGUAGGGCUCUUGUGAGAGGGACAAGAGGACACAACCGGGGUAGGGCGCGAGGUAAUGCUUCCGUGCCCUGCAAGCAUACAUCUAGCGACGGUGGAAUGCACGAGGAUGGCGAUGAUCUGAAUGACAUACCUGAGUGCCCUUCGAAAAAUACUGUGGAGAAAGAACAUGACCGUGCGAAAGAAAAGGAUGUUGUGUCAACAAAGAAGAAACUGGAUAUGGACGUCGAGUCCAACCAAGAUCAAGGAGCUCUAGCUUGUUGAUCCGACGGCACCACCACCCUCCAACGUAUGUCUCUGCAAGAGAGCGGAAGAAGUCAAAAAGGGGGCGGCAAAAAAGCUCCUUGGGGAGGACCGUCACGCCUAAUGUUGACCCUUUGUUGGAACUGUCGUGGGCUAGGCGGACCUGCGGCAGUUCAUGGAUUGUGCAAUAUUGCGUGGGAGUGUGUGCCGACUAUACUUUGCGUGGUGGAAACCCAGUUACCAAAGUAUCGUGGAGCAGUGGCGGGGCUACACAGGAGAUGCCUUGAGGGGCGAAAGGCAAUACAUCAAUCUCUGAGGGUGCGCGCCAUCAGCCGGCGGCUGACGGUAAGUGUUUCUAUGAUUAGACACUCCCGAUGCAAAAAAAAGGGUGGGGGUCAAUUAUAGCCUCAGUUUGCCAUUCCAAUUUACGUCAUCGUGACACUCGUUUCGUAACAAGGUGAGGAGUAGCGGUCAUCAUCGGCUCGAAAGCUCUCGGAUGUUCCAAAUGGGACGUGAAGGAAGCUUGUUAUUGUUUAUUUAAAGGGGCUAUUGUUCUCUUGAUCCGGCGAGGUGGGACUAAAUGUACGGUUUGGACGUGACGGGCGCGGUCGCUCACAAGAACAGGUGCUAAAUGGGAGUCUUCCUGAUCGCCUUGUUGGACGGAUUCUGGACAAACCGGCGAGGUGGGACUAAAUGGAUGGAUUCGGGAUCAACUGCCGCUCACACUCUGCCUCGCGUGGACCGGCCCAUCAUCACGCACAGGUGGCCAGCUCGGGUCGCUUCAGUUUUCCUCUUUGUUUCCCAAGUUGUUGGUUAACUUGACCAGGCUGCCGUUAACUAGAUGUGUUGACAUUUAACCUGACCCAUUGACCCGAGUUAUCUGUUGACUUUUUGGAAAAAGUGACCCGAGUUAUCUGUUGACUUUUUGGAAAAAGUUGUCUUUUUCGAAAAAGUUUACACGCUCGAAAAGGUUCAUAGAUUUUAAGAAGUUAACAAAUUGAGAUAUAUACACGUGUUUCAGAGAAAUUGGCGAUCUUACCUGAGAGCCAUACUAUUUCCUUCAAUUUUUAGCGAUCUGCAGCCGCCAGCGGACGAGAGCAGGGCGGGCGACUGGUGUGUGGCGACUGCUGAAGGGGCGACGGGCGGCGGCGUGACGGGAGGAGGUGAGAAGGCACCAACUGAACAGGCGCACGAUACACACGUACUGUACGUAGGAUCCAAACAAUCGCUACCUUGUUUUCUUUGCUACUAGAUGGGUCGCGCCUGCGCUCGCUCCAACAAUCCUCCAACCGGUGUCUAGGUUUAUUUUCACUGUCGAAGCCCUAAAUACGAAGUAGUAUACACGUAUAAGUGCAAUUUCUACCCGGUGUCUUGUGAUACCGGCUGCGUGAAUGUAGGUCCGCCCCUGCCAUGUAGCAUCGAUGGACGUGGAGAAAGAACAUGAUUGUGCGAAAGAAAAUGAUUUUGCGCCAACAAAGGAGAAACUUGGAUAUGGGCAUCGAGUCCAACCAACAUCGAGGAGCUCAAGCUUGUUGAUCCGACAACUCCACCACCCUCCAGUGUAUGUCUCUGCAAGGGAGCGGAAGAAGCUCAAGAAGGGGGCAUCCCUGGCAAAAAAUGGCAAGACAGUGGAUGCAUCAGAAGUGACAUGAAGCGUUUUGGCAAAAUCGACGGCCUCCUUGGGGAGGAGCGCCGGGCCUAAUGUUGAUUGUGCAAUAUUGCGCGGGAGUGUGCCGACUUUGCGCGGUGGAAACCCAGUUACCAAAGUAUCAUGUGGAGCAAUGGCGGUGCUACACAUAAGAUGUUGGAGGGGCGAAAGGCAAUACAUCAAUCUCUGAGGGUGCGCGCCAUCAGCCGGUGGCUGAUGAUAAGUGUUUCAAUGAUUAGACACUCCCGAUGCAAAAAAAAGGAAAACAUUUGAAAUCAACCGAUUGAAUUUGUCUAUCCAUAAGCCACCUUCGACGCUUGACACGCGUCGUCGUCGGGCCACGCACCACUCUACUAGCACGCCUUAUCCUCUCGCAGCAAACCACAGCCACACGUGACACGUCUAACCCAUCUGUUUUCCCCUUCGUCUCCCUCUGCUCAUGAACCCGCAUGGCUCAGAUUUGUCCUCCACUCCAGCAGCUCGUCCCCGUCGUUAACACAAAAACGGCUCGUGAGCCAACAAUCACCACCCUCUGCCAACAUGUCCCAAAGCAUCCCUUCUCAUCUCGCUUGCAGCUCACCCCGGCAGCCAAGCCCAAAUCACGAGCACUUGUCGGCGCGGCCGACGUUACAAUACAACGCUCACAAUGCAGCGGGGGCACCGAGGCUUCGAUGCAACGCUCGUUGGCGGCGGCCCCGACGCACCGGUGUGAUGACCCUUUUUGCAGCAAGCAAGUUGCGGCUGGCCUUGUAGCAUCAGCUGGUCGUGGAUCUCGCCGGGGCGGCGACGCUCAUGGUGUUGUAAAGCGGUGUCUGGCGCGACGCAUUCUGUGGUGCUACAGCGGCGUCCGACGCGGCGCACUCCGCUCGUGAUGCUGCAGUGAAGUGCGUCGGGCUGCAAUGGAGUGCUGCCGGAGGCUGCAAUGGAGCGUCAUGCGGGGUCGUUGAGCUUUGCCGGGGCUGCAAUGAAGCUCUGCCGGAGCUGCAUUGAAGCACGCUGGAGCUGCAAUGAAGCGUGCACAGGUCGUUGAACCUCGUCGGGGGUUGCAAUGGAGCGCCGCUGUGAUUGCAAUGGAGCACUCCGGGCGCCGCCGAGGCUGCAAUGGAGUGCCAUCGGGCGCCGCCGGUGCUUGCCCGCAGUGCUGCCAUGGGAGCUGCUGCGUUGAAGCUUUUUUAUCGCCGUCGGCGUUGCCAUUUUUUGAGCAGCACCUGGAUGGCUUCUGGUGCUGCGAUGCAGCGGUCGCCGGCAGCUCUGGUUGGUUUGUUGUGACCGAGAAUCGACACCCCGGUGAUGGGCGCUGCUACCGGGGGUGCUGCUCCGACGAGUGAACACUGCUAGCCAGAGGCUGUCGUGAGCGAGAGGAGAUGGUAGUACAAGAGAGGAGGAAGACCCAGGGCGAUGCAUCGCUGAGAGCAUGCAAUCGAACGGUAAGGCACACUAGAUCAGACGGUUAGUCAGGUGGUUGAUCUGUUGCUAAAUCAACCGGCUGAUUCGUAGCAGCCGCCAAAAAAAAGGGUGGGGGUCAAUUAUAGCCUCAGUUUGCCAUUCCAAUUUACGUCAUCGUGACACUCGUUUCGUAACAAGGUAUAAGGAGUAGCGGUCAUCGUCGGCUCGAAAGCUCUCGGAUGUCUUAAUCGGGACGUGAAGGAAGCUCGUUAACGUUUAUUUAAAGGGGCUAUUGUUCUUCUGAUCCGGCGAGGUGGGACUAAAUGUACGGUUUGGACGUGACGGCGCGGUCGCUCACAAGAACAGGUGCUACUUGGAUGUCCACGGGAGUCUUUGUGAUCGCCUUGUUGGACGGAUUGUGGACAAACCGGCGAGGUGGGACUAAAUGGAUGGAUUCGGGAUCAACUGCCGCUCACACUCUGCCUCGCGUGGGCCGGCCCAUCACCGCGCACAGGUGGCCAGCUCUCGGUAGCGUCGGUUUACCUCUUUGUUUCCCAAGUUGUUGGUUAACUUGACCAGGCUGCCGUUAACUUGAUGUGUUGACCUUUAACCUGACCCAUUGACCCGAGAUAUCCGUUGACUUUUUGAAAAACGUUUGCACGCUCGAAAAAGUUCAUAGAUUUUUAAAUGGUUAACGAAUUUAAAGAGUUCGUUGUAAAAAAAUCAUUGAUUUGUAGAAAAGUUCAUGAAUUUUUAAAAAUCAUCGAUUUGAAGAAAAGUACUAAAUUUCAGUAAGUUCAUGUAUUUUAAAAAAAUGUUCACAAAUGUGAACAAAGUUCAUCCAUUUCGGGAAAAAAUUCAUCAAUUUUAAAAAAAGUUCAUCGAAUUUGAAAGAAAGUUCAAUGUUUUUGAAAAAACUUUGUGCAUUUUGAAGAAAGAAAAAAUAAGUAAAAAUGAAAAGAAAAAAGGAAAGAAAAAACCACACAAAAACCGGUCUACAAAAAAAACACAAAUUCGAAACGAACGAAAAAGGAAACAACUGGAAGCUUCCCAAAAACUUCCCGGUGUCCAUGCCUACGCCAUGAGCCAUAUGGAUACUAAGCAAUAAUAUACAUAAAAGCAACCCAUUCAAUAGCUGAAAAUGUCAAAUAAUAAAAUUAUGAAAAAUGAAGUGUUAAUCUUGAAAUUCUGGUUCGUUGUGUAAAAUUAAACAAUAAAAACAUAAGGUCUUCAAACAAUAGCAACAAAUAUGACCAGUCAACAUGAAUUCACCCGAAAUUCUCCAAUUUUUAUGUUAUCGCAAGGAGUUACAUUAUUGGGACAUUUACAUCUAUACCCCUAACUUGAUCCCACUAAUUAGAUUUGCCCCUAGUUUCAAAGGGUGCUCAAAUUUGUCCCUCUGCUGUUAGUAGCCUUAUAGAAAUGCCCUUCUGCGCCAUUACCGUUUGGUCAAAGGGUGUCAAAGGGCUUUGACCGUCUCGAAAAAAAUAGAAAAAAAAUCUGAAAUUUUGUGGGAUCGAAGGUACUCAAGUGCGCAAGGUGCGUGCAAAUUUUUGUGCUGUUUGGACACUCUACGAACUCAUGACAAAGAAAAACAGUAAAUCUAUAGGCCCGUGAAUAGUAAAUUCAAAAAAUAGCAAGAAAAUUCAAAAAUCAUGAAAUUUUUUGGCAUCCAAGAUGCUCGGGUGUGCAAAAUUUUGUUGUGUUUGGACAUUGUAGGAGCUCGUGGGAAAAAAAUAUAUGGCUCGGAAAAAACUUCAAAAAAUAAGCAAUUUUGUUGUUUCGCAAGAGCUCCACGCAUGUCAUUUGAUAACAAAAUUUUGCACACACCUUGCGCAACCGAUCAUCUUGGAUGCCAAAAAAUUUCAUAUUUUUUUUAUUUUUCUUGCUAUUUUUUUGAAUUUACUAUUCACGGGCGUACGAAUUUACUGUUUUUCCUUUGCCAUGAGCUCGUAGAGUGUCCAAACAUCACGAAAAUCUGCACGCACGUUGGGCACCUAAGUUUCUUUGAUCCCUCAAAAUUUCAGAUUUUUAUGAUUUUUUUGCUAUUUUUUUCGAGACGGUCAAAGCCCUUUGACCAGAUGGUAACGACGCUGAAGGGCAUUUCUAUAAGGACACCUAACGGCAGAGGGGCAAAUUUGAGCACCGUUUGAAAUUAGGGACAAAUCUGAGUAGUGGGAUCAAGUUAGGGGCACAAAUGUAAAUGGCGCUACAUUAUUUGUGUUUGUAGACAUAAACAAUAAAUAAAGCUUGUUGAUCCAACUUUAUUCUUGUGAAGUUAAACUUACUUGACAUUGUGUCUUAAUGGUCCCGCAUGGUCAACAAAAAAUCCAAAGUUCCAAAUAGAUGUGAAUCGCUAAGGAAAAUUAUCAAAUCGCAUAAUCCAAAUCUCAGUUAUUAGACCCUUGAAUUUGAGAACGCUGGCAGAAGACCUUUUUUCCACGCCCUCGCGUCGCUCCCGCUGUGGGCGAUUCGGGCGAAACUUCAACCCUAGCAGCGCCACCAUAGACCCUACCUCUCGUAUUCGCCGCCGCUGGAAGAAGCUGCAAGGCGAAGCUGCCGCGGCUGAUGGCGGCGUCGUGGACCUUGCUCGCAUCGUGGGGAGGCCUCGGGCGCGGCGGAGCUCUCCCAUCGAUGACCACGACGACGGUGUUUCUUGUGUAGGUGCUCGGAUCUGGCUUGGCCAAUUUCGGCGGCCUGACUAUCGACCGCCGCGAGGUUCUGAUGCUCGGGCGCAGCAUUGGGCGGGAGCUCUCUCGGCGCCUCCCCCCUCCCGGGCGCUCCUACUCUACUUCGUUGUGCUGCGCGCAUCGGCAGGCGUCACAUGUGUUUGUGCUGGGGAAUGCUCUAGGGUGCAGUCUGACGGCGCUGUCGUGUUCCUGCGGUGGUCGGUUGCUGGGCGGGUGGACUGUCGUGAGGAGCUGGAGGUGGUGCGACGCAGCGGACGACCUAAGCUCAAGCUGGGUCUGUUUUCCUGUGGCGCGGGCAUGCUGGUUCCUUCUGGAUCUGGCCUUUGGUGGUUUGAGGCGGUGGUUGAUGAUGCGCGCUCGGUGCUGCCGGUCCUGGUGCUCGCCAACUGGAAGUGACGGGUUGCUAGGGCAGGCGUCACACAGGGUGUCUCUCUGACCUGCGAGGCACUGUGGUGGUUGCUGCUCGAUGCCGUUGUGGUAGCUCGCUGCCGGGAGCAUGGCUGCGCACGGUAGGAGGGUGGAGGUUGGUGGCCUGAGGUGGGCGGUGGUAGACAUGGUGGAGUGGCUUGGUUUGGUCGGAGCAGUAGGAGACGAUGCCGGGCGAAAGUCUAUCUUCGGCUACGGUCGGAGCCGGAAGUGGCGGCGUCUGUGGGCGUCGCUGUCUUCUUGAAGACGCUGCUGUGGUGAUGUACUCCUCUUCCCUGUCGUCCCUUGCUUCGUCCCUUGCUUCGGGGGAAACAUCAAAUCCGUGCUCUCUUGGAUCGGAUUAUGGCGGCGCCUUCCAUCGUUUCCCUCUUGUGGGCAUCAUUUUUCGAGAAGGGAUCAGCCGGAGGGACCAGUGUGGGCUUGAUGGUGGUGGUGCUGCGGCCGGUUGGCGUCGAUGUUGGUGGUCGUGCGGCCGGUUGGUCGUCAAAUAAUCCAAAGUUAAACUUACUUGACAUUGUGUCUUAAACUCUUAAUGCUCCCGCAUGGUCGACAAAUAAUCCAAAGUUCCAAAUAGAUGUGAAUCACUAAGGAAAAUUAUCAAAUCGUAGAAUCCAAAUCUCAGUUGGUGUACCCUUGAAUUUGAUAACGCUAGCCAUAAAAUUUGGGCAAAGAAUUAGAGAAAAAUUGAGAUAUCUACAUGUGUUUGAGAGAAAUUGGCGACCUUACUGAGGGCCAUACUAUUUCCUUCGAUUAUUUAGAGCAAGUAAAAUAGGAUGAUGUAAGCGGGCUAUAAAAAUUGCCACCUCAGAUUUAUGAUGAUGUGGAGGAGAGAGGAGAGUAGAGAGAAGAGUGGGCUGUAAACUUGUAGCCAGCUGCAGCACAAGCUCCAAUGCAUUUUGUGAGAGAAGAAAGUGAGGUCAAGCAUUAACUACAUGGUGUAUAGAGCCAGCAACUAUUAUAUGAGUGGGAUUUUAGGUUGGCUAUAAGUAAGGUGGCACAAAGAUAGAGAUAGCAGCCGGCUAUGUUAUUAAUCUUGCUCUUAGUAAUCUGCAGCCGCUAGUGGACGAGAGCAGGGGCGGGUGGCUGAUGUGUGGCGACUGCUGAAGGGGCGACGGGCGGCGGCGCGACAGGAGGAGGCGAGUAGGCACAACCUGAACAAGCGCACGAUACACAAGUACGAAUGUGGUAGGAUCCAAACAAUCGCUAGCUUGUUUUCUUUACUCGCUAAGGAUGGGCCUUCAACUAGAUGGGUCGCGCCUGCACUCGCUCCAACAAUCUCGUCCAAAAGGUGUCCGGGUUUAUUUUCUAUCGGUGCCCAAGCCCCAAAUACGAACUCUUAUACAAGUAUAAGUGCAAUUUCUACCGAUGUCCUGUGACACCGGUUGCGUGAAUGUAGGUCUGCCGCUGCCAUGUAGCAUCGAUGGACAAGGAGAAAGAACAUGACUGUGCAAAAGAAAUGGAUUUUGUGCCUACAAAGAAGAAACUCGAUAUGGACGUCCUAUCCAAACAAGAUCGAGGAGCUCAAACUUGUUGAUCCGAUGUCUCCACCACCCUCCAGCGUAUGUAUCUUGCAAGGGAGCAGAAGAAGCUAAAAAAAGGGGGCAUGCCUGCCAAAAAAUGGCAAGACAGUGGGGUGGAGGACGUCGGGUUUGACGAGAUGCUGACGAGACAACCCCUUCUACAAGUUGGUACAUAGAGCCGCUUAGGAGGGAGGGACCUAGGCUUUCGACACGUUUCGGUGGUGGUUAAUGGCAGGAGCAGAGAAAGUCGCCGGGCAUCGAGCUCACGGCGGGCCGACGUGUUAAUGGCGGGAAGGCGAGAUGGGUGCAGAAGAUCGGAGUCGAGGUUGGGCAGUGGGAGGUGUCGAGGGCGAGCUCACCACUAGAGCUGUUUUGUGGAUGGGGUAAACUGACAGCGUUGAGAUGGCGAGACCGUGGUGGCGCAUCAUCUCCAUGAUGGGCAUGUGUCGGCGCCGGGCAGCAGCGCCCCUCCUCAACGGACUCAGACAACACCUUCCAAACACAAAGAAGGGGUUAGCUUGUCAUGGCUCACUUUUUUGAUGUUGCAACAAAAGUGUAUUCAACAUCAUUUCAAGCUAGCAGCCUAGCUAAUUGAAGCAACAUUACUCUAUCUUUAUCAUGCCAGUAGGCUAAUGUGGCGAAAUUAGAUAACAGAGGGAAGUUAUCAAGUCAUCAACUCUUAUAAACUAUUCCAGCUUUUAGGUGUUGUGUUCCUUCCCGAAGGCGCCAAUCGAGGACCCUCAGGAUGGUGGAGUUGCUGGUAGUUCGGAGUCGAUGCGAGAUGGCAUGUAGGUGGAGCGGUGUGGCAUCAACAGUAUCAUCGACGGUGGGUCUCGGCGGCAAUGGCGCAGUGGAGGCUCGACAUCUGAUGCGAGGAGAUGGACUCACACAGGAGGAGGAAGUUGCCUGGCGUCAUGAUGGUGUUGAUGGUAGAGAGGCCUGGCAUGGUCGGUGCAUCAGUUCUGCUCUGAGGAUGGACUGAUGGAAGAUGGAGAUGACGGCCCUUGCAACGUGCAGUGCUCACUGGGAGUGUGCCGGACUGGUGUAUGCCCCAAUCCAGGUAGUGGCUUGGAUGGUACACCUGGCCUUAGAUGUUAGAUUUGGGUGCGAUAUCUAUUUGGUAUGAGGUCUGGACAUUCGACACACCUUCAUCAAACGGGAUAAGAGUAGCAACAGCGUUGCCAAGUUGGUGGCUUCAGGCUUAUUGAUAUAUCACCUUGUAUGGUCUUUGUAAAUAAUUAAUAAUAUGACUGCAUGCAUCGUUCAGAUGCAGAGGCCGAGGGUACAUCCUCCAUUUCUAAAAAAAAAUCCAGCUUUUAGGCCACCACUCAA